AACGAACGCUGGCGGCAGGCUUAACACAUGCAAGUCGAACGCCCCGCAAGGGGAGUGGCAGACGGGUGAGUAACGCGUGGGAACAUACCCUUUCCUGCGGAAUAGCUCUGGGAAACUGGAAUUAAUACCGCAUACGCCCUACGGGGGAAAGAUUUAUCGGGGAAGGAUUGGCCCGCGUUGGAUUAGCUAGUUGGUGGGGUAAAGGCCUACCAAGGCGACGAUCCAUAGCUGGUCUGAGAGGAUGAUCAGCCACAUUGGGACUGAGACACGGCCCAAACUCCUACGGGAGGCAGCAGUGGGGAAUAUUGGACAAUGGGCGCAAGCCUGAUCCAGCCAUGCCGCGUGAGUGAUGAAGGCCUUAGGGUUGUAAAGCUCUUUCACCGAUGAAGAUAAUGACGGUAGUCGGAGAAGAAGCCCCGGCUAACUUCGUGCCAGCAGCCGCUGUAA
rnacentral:rRNA from 1 species